GUCAUACAGCUAGCGUCCGAAGCAAGAUGGAGACUUGGGUCUUCCUGACUUUAAGUCCAGCCUUCCCAGAGAGCAGCAUUCCACUGCCUCACAAAAGUGAGAUAGCCGGGCUAGAAACGCUAUUGGCAGAAUGAAUGUCUGAAGUACUCUCAUGAUGCCCUGUGGCUCUAGUCCUGUUACUGUGCAGUUAUAUUCAAAGAAACCAAAUCCUGCAAAGGCUAAAUCUUAAAGCCUGUCUACUGCUGGUCUCACCCAUCUUUCUUUUUAAGGUGGAGCCUCAACGGAUCACUUAGGUAACCCAGAGGGAGGCCAAGCAUGAGAGAGCUCGUGGUCGCACAUAAAGGUAACCAUUGGCUCGGACAAUUCAAGAACAAAUCUAAUAUCUCAGGUCAGAUGGAACUGUCAACUGAUGAAAGAGCAUGGUCUAAUUCCUGGCUUUCCACAGAGAAGCAAAUGAGAUGUCUUGCCGACAGGACUAAAGGAAAAGGAGCUGUCCUCCCAGUGCUACAGCCUCUGAAUGCAAAGCCAGGAAGAUCCUCGACUCCCUUGCACCGAGCUUUUAUGAUCCAGCCCCAUGUUUUCACCUGAUGACAACACCUGGAUAUUUCACAAGCUCCUCAAACUCAACAUGUCCAGAAAGAACCUCAUCCUAUUCCCUCGAACUCACCCCUCCCAGUCACCCAGGGUGGUGGCCUCAGAAUGCUGACUCUUCACACCCCCAUCAUACAAUCAGUGACCAAGCUCUCUCAAUCCCACCUUUCCACUGCCACUGCAGCCAUCCCAGUUCUAGCCCUCAUCUCUUCUCAACUAAGCGGUCUGACCAGACUCUCUCCUGAUCCUCUUACCUUUAAUUCACCCCCUCUAGAUCUAUCCUUUACAUGGAUCCUCUCUGAUGCUCCCAAUAUACCACUAAUCACUUAAUUCUUCUACUAUAAAAAAGACUUCUGUGGCUCCUUCCACCAACUGAACCAAGUGAAAAAGUGCUUACGCUACUGGUCACGCACUUACUCAACAGGGUUCUGCCCUAGCUGCCCCAUCUCGGUUCCACUACUAUUCUUUCACAUAACUUUCUAUUCCAGUCAAGUCAGACUUUACCCUCUGGAACCCCUUCUUGUCCUAUCUCCUCGAGCUUCCAUACCUUGAUCCAAGUCAUCCCCCAUGCUGGGAAUGGACUACCCCAGCCCAAAUCCUGAAUGUUGAAGUCACUCCUUUCCUUCAAAAUGCAAAUGAAGUCCCCACUCCUGCAUGAAGCUUCCCCUGAACUUCCCAAAUGCAAGCAAUUUUCCUCCUCAAAUAGUCCUAUGCCUGGCCAUUUUGUUUGAAUAGCACAUUUUCCCCUUAUACCACCGUCAUCUGUGAACAUAUCUCUUCUCCCCACCUACAUUCCUGCAUUAAACUGUAAACUCCUUGAGAA